rnacentral:rRNA from 1 species
UACGAAGGGGGGCUAGCGUUGCUCGGAAUUACUGGGCGUAAAAGGGCGCGUAGGCGGCACUGUUAGUCAGGCGUGAAAUUCCUGGGCUCAACCUGGGGACUGCGCUUGAUACGGCAGAGCUUGAGGAUGGAAGAGGGUCGCGGAAUUCCCAGUGUAGAGGUGAAAAUUCGUAGAUAUUGGGGAAGAAACACCGGUGGCGAAGGCGGCGACCUGGUCCAUUACUGACGCUGAGGCGCGACAGCGUGGGGAGCAAACAGG